AUGGAUCAAGAAAGAGUAUUCUCUUCCCACUGGAGGAUGACUUGGCUGAAAGAGAUCUGUCAGAAGAGUCAAGGCAUUAAGAGUCCUGGAAAAUAUUCUGAAUUCUGGGACAAUUCAGAAAAUGUCCCUGCUCUCAUGGCACUUGAGUUUGUGACUGGAAGAUAGAUACUAUCAACAGACACAUCGAGCUGUAAAACAAUUCUAGCUAAUGAUAAGCACAUUUGAAGAAAAAUAAAGGUAAGGAAGAAAUCAGAGUGCAACUGAAGAGAGGUGGCUGAGGGACGAGGGCAAAGGUUAUGGUUAAGCUGAGGUGAUUAGGGAAGGUUUGAGGAUAUGGAAGCUGCGGUUUGAACAGAUGCUCUGGGAGAAAAGGAAGAAGAGGCAGAGUGGAGAGUGUGGGAUUGCUUAUGGAAGAUUAGAGAGUGAUAAUUCCAGGGUCAUGCCAUUGCAUGGGAGAAGUAGACAGAAGUAGUGAGAAGUGGCAGAAACUUGCAAAAGAAACACAGAGACAAGCUUAGAUAAUCAAAUAUGUGCAGCUGUGUUUUGGUCUCAGUGUUUUCUUCUUACUCAUAACAAAUAAAGUUAGAUUAAUUUAGUAGCACAUUUUCAUCAUCAGAAUAUAUCCCCCCCACCAACCUCCGGUACUUUCUUCUUUCCUUCCAGAAGGGUGUAUUGUUGGAGAUGUUAAUUUAACCAGAAAAGCUGAAACCGACAAUGUGGAACGUUCAUUCGCUUGCCAUUGAGGCCCUGAAUGUUACAAAACCCAUUUGUGACAGGUCUAAUAUGUCUCUCUUUACUGGUAAAUUAUCAUUUAUCCUGCAAGGUGUGAGAACUUAAUCCUUUGCAUUUAAGGAGCUCAUAGCUUGAGCACUGCAAUGAUCAACCCAUUAAUUCUUUUUCUUGAGAGACUAAAAAAACGUGCUUAAAAUGUGCCCAUGUCCUUUUCUUGGUGUCACCAUAGUCUUAACUCUGCUGACUGAGGUUUAACCGACUUGUGAUGUAUUUUCUCUCUGGUCUUCUUGAUGUUGCUACUGUGUUGGGCAGAGCUUUGCUCACUCAGCACCUUAAUAAAGCAAAACAAAAUAUUUCACUUUGUAUUUCCACAAGUUCAAAUAUCUUAGGAGGUGGCAGGAAAUAAUGGAAAGAGUAAGGAUGUUUACAAUCAGACCAUUUUGGGUUCUAACUGUACAGUGACAUCAUUUACUAGCUAUUUGAGCUUGAACAAGUCAUUUUAACUCCCUGAGCCUCAGCUUCCUCUUGCCCAAAAUACAGCAAUAAGUGCUACCUUGUUUGUUCGUAUUAAGGACGAGAUAGAAUAUGGUACCUGGAUGUCAGGCCCUGGGAAGUGAUUAAGUCAUUCAGUUAGUAUUAACCCAUCCUUUAAAAUUUAACAUUAAUCAAUAUUAGUUUAUUAACAUCACCCAUUAUACAUUAAAUAGGCCAGCAUCCCUCCUGGUAUCUUUCAGGAUCUGAGUAUUUGCAUGUUUUACCUGAGCCCUUCUGGCCUUAAUCCCUGGUUCUGCCUCACUGUUGACCUCAGAUCUGCCUAACAGUUUGGUCUGCUGCCCCCACUUUUUUUCCGUUCUUACCUGGAGAAAAUUAAAAACAAAAAAACAAAAACUUCAGUAUGCUGAUCAACUUUCUCUGGUUUUGUUAAAGAAUACUAUAUUAGUCUGUUCUCAUACUGCUGUAAAGAACUAUCUGAGACUGGGUAGUUUAUGAAGAAAAGAGGUUUAAUUGACUCACAGUUCCACAGGGCUGAGGAGACCUCAGGAAACUGACAGUCAUGGUGGAAGGCGAAGGGGAAGUAAGCCCCCUGUUUCACAUAGUGGCAGGAGAGAGUGAGAGCAAAGGGGAAGGUGCCAAAACUUUUAAACAACCAGAUCUCAUGAGAACUCUAUCAUGAGACAGCACUACGGUUAUGUUGCGAAACUAUUGGAAACUCCCUCCAUGAUCCAAUCAUCUUCCACCAGGACCCUCCCCGGACAUGUGGGGAUUACAGUGUGACAUGAGAUUUGGGUGGAAACACAACGCCAAACCAUAUCAAAUGCAUUUUUCAAAAAGGUAAAAACUGUGUUUUUUUUUUCUCUGUAGGAGCCCAUUCCUGGCUUAUCCUGGUCAUGCACAGAUAGACUAUUUUCACAGUAUCUAAAUUGUUCAUCAAUGAUACAGCAUCACUAAAUGGAGAUCUGUUCUUUCUUCCCAGAGGAAUAAUACUGCAUCGUCCUUUGCCUUUUUCUGUCAUGUUAAAUACUUGGCACAUUGUACACAUUCAAUAAUUACUACUUCCCCUUUACCCUUCCUGACUUGUUCUUCAAUUCUCAGCUCAGAUUCUAUGGCUGUUACAUGCUUUGCAUUGUUUCCCUGAGCUAAAAGUAUUCUUCCCACUCUGAAUUUUCACAUCUUUGUACUGCAACUGCUCCAUCACAGCAAUAAGAAUGUUAAAUGUCCUGAGAGAUGCUGGUGCUUUACCUCCCCUACUUCUUGAAGCUAUGCAAAGGACUACUUUUAGUGUCUCUAAGUAAGCAGUCUUCAAACUUUUUGGAACCAAGGACUGGUUUCAUGAAAGACAGUUUUUCCACAGACUGGGGGCAGGAGAUUGUUUUGGGAUGAUUCAAGCACAUUACAUUUAUUGUGUACUUUAUUUCUAUUAUCAUUACAUUGUUUUAUAUAAUGAAAUAAUUAUGCAACUUACCAUAUUGUAGAAUCAGUGUGAGCCCUGAGCUUGUUUUCCUUCAAUUAGGUAGUUCCCAUCUGGGGGUGAUGAGAGACAGUGACAGAUCAUCAGGCAUUAGAUUCUCAUAGUGAGUGUGCAACCUAGAUCCCUUGCGUGUGUGGUUCACAAUAGGGUUUAUGCUCUAUGAGAUUCUAAUGCCACUGCUGAUCUGACAGGAGGUAGAGCUCAGGUGGUAAUGCAAGCGAUGGGGAGUGGCAGCAACUACAGAGGAAGCUUCACUUCCUCACCCGCCACUCACCUCCUGCUGUUUGGCCCGGUUCCUAUCAGGCCACAGAUGGGUACCUGGGGAUUGGGAACUCCUGCUCUAAAUAUCCUCACAGAAUCUACCACAGAUAAUUGAACUUAUUUUGUUCGUAUGCAAGGUUGAACUAACUCAAGGAAAAUAGAGUGAUAAAGUGAAAUUAUGGCUUCAGGUAUAUUUGUAUUUUGAUCAUCCCUAAAUCUCAAUUUAGCAUCAGAAUGUGACUGAAAAAAAUAGAGUCAAUGGCAUAGAAUUUGAAAGGAAGCAGAGAAGAUAAGACAAGAAGUCCUUUGAAAUCUUUCUAAUUACAGGUUUUGUUGAGAAGAUAAAAAUUACUUUUACUCAGGGAGUGAGAUCAAGACAGGGAGGUUAUUUAAUUGCAUUUCAUAAAAUAGAAAAAGAAUCUUAUUGUUUCUCAACCUGUUUGUCAUUGUUAUAAUCAGUCAUGUAGAACUGUAUUUCUCAAAGUGGGUUUCAUGGUCUACCUGCAUUAAAAUCAUCUGAGGGCCUGUUAAAGUAGCUUUUCAAAGUAGUUUAUUUAUUUAUUUAUUUUUUGGCAUCACCCUCUUAAAUCAGAAUAUCUCAGGGUGAGUUGGGGGUAUAUCUCUCAAGAGUCUGAAAUUUUAUUGUAGACCUCAGGUGAUUUUUAGUCCUGCUGAAAUAUGAAAACUUGGCCAUAGAAAAUGCAUUAUUUUUAUAUUCAAGGAAAAUAUUAAGGGACUCUUUCUAGUAUGGCCAGAAGCAGUGCAGUUCAGUGAAAAUAGCAGAAAUUUGCAGUGCCACAGCUUCCAGAAGACCUAGGGUUUGACCAUUGCUUUUUUUUUUUUUUUUUUUUUUUUUUUUUUGAGACAGAGUUUUGCUUUGUCGCCCAGGCUGGAGUGCAGUGGCACGAUCUUGGCUCACUGCAAACUCUGCCUCCUGGGUUCACGCCAUUCUCCUGCCUCAGCCUCCUGAGUAACUGGGACUACAGGUGUCUGCCACCACAUCCGGCUAAUUUUUUGUAUUUUUAGUAGAGACAGGGUUUCACUGUGUUAGCCAGGAUGGUCUUGAUCUCCCGACCUCAUGAUUCACCCACCUCGGCCUCCCAAAGUGCUAAGAUUACAAGCGCAAACCACCGCAUGCUGCGUGACCAGUGCUUUUUCAUGAACUAGCAGAUCACUGGGUAAGUCUUCAAACCUCACUGACU
rnacentral:lncRNA from 1 species